rnacentral:rRNA from 3 species
CAGGUAGGGAUACCCGCUGAACUUAAGCAUAUCAAUAAGCGGAGGAA